rnacentral:rRNA from 1 species
CGCAUCGCUGGUAGCUAUGAACGGCAGGGAUAAACGCUGAAAGCAUCUAAGUGUGAAGCCCCCCUCGAGAUGAGAUUUCCCAUUCCUAUAUGGAAGUAAGACCCCUGAGAGAUGAUCAGGUAGAUAGGCUGGAAGUGGAAGUGCAGCGAUGCAUGGAGCGGACCAGUACUAAUCGGUCGAGGACUUAACCAA